UAUGCCUAGCCCUAAACAUCGAUAAAAAUUUACCUUCUUUAUCCGCCCGGGUACUACGAGCGUUAGCUUAAAACCCAAAGGACUUGGCGGUGCUUCAGAUCCACCUAGAGGAGCCUGUUCUAGAACCGAUAAUCCCCGUUAAACCUCACCUUUCCUUGUAUUUUCCGCCUAUAUACCGCCGUCGUCAGCUUACUCUGUGAGGAGCUCGUAGUAUGCACAAUUGGCUUAGCCCAAAACGCCAGGUCGAGGUGUAGCGUAUGGAAAGGGAAGAAAUGGGUUACAUUCAAUAACUAUAAUGAAUACGAAUGAUAUCAUGAAAAAAAUAUCUGAAGGAGGAUUUAGCAGUAAACAGAGAAUAGAGUGCUCUGCUGAAGCUGGCCCUGAAGCGCGUACACACCGCCCGUCACUCUCCCCGAAAACAAAUCAACACAUCACUAAUCAACCAAAGCCAUAGAGGGGAGGCAAGUCGUAACAUGGUAAGCGUACCGGAAGGUGCGCUUGG
rnacentral:rRNA from 1 species